rnacentral:rRNA from 1 species
UACGUAGGGUGCAAGCGUUAAUCGGAAUUACUGGGCGUAAAGCGUGCGCAGGCGGUUAUGCAAGACAGAUGUGAAAUCCCCGGGCUCAACCUGGGAACUGCAUUUGUGACUGCAUGGCUAGAGUACGGUAGAGGGGGAUGGAAUUCCGCGUGUAGCAGUGAAAUGCGUAGAUAUGCGGAGGAACACCGACGGCGAAGGCAAUCCCCUGGACCUGUACUGACGCUCAUGCACGAAAGCGUGGGGAGCAAACAGG